AUCUGCCUGGUAGUGGGGGACAACGUUUCGAAAGGAACGCUAAUACCGCAUACGUCCUACGGGAGAAAGCAGGGGACCUUCGGGCCUUGCGCUAUCAGAUGAGCCUAGGUCGGAUUAGCUAGUUGGUGGGGUAAUGGCUCACCAAGGCGACGAUCCGUAACUGGUCUGAGAGGAUGAUCAGUCACACUGGAACUGAGACACGGUCCAGACUCCUACGGGAGGCAGCAGUGGGGAAUAUUGGACAAUGGGCGAAAGCCUGAUCCAGCCAUGCCGCGUGUGUGAAGAAGGUCUUCGGAUUGUAAAGCACUUUAAGUUGGGAGGAAGGGCAUUAACCUAAUACGUUAGUGUUUUGACGUUACCGACAGAAUAAGCACCGGCUAACUCUGUGCCAGCAGCCGCGGUAAUACAGAGGGUGCAAGCGUUAAUCGGAAUUACUGGGCGUAAAGCGCGCGUAGGUGGUUUGUUAAGUUGGAUGUGAAAGCCCCGGGCUCAACCUGGGAACUGCAUCCAAAACUGGCAAGCUAGAGUACGGUAGAGGGUGGUGGAAUUUCCUGUGUAGCGGUGAAAUGCGUAGAUAUAGGAAGGAACACCAGUGGCGAAGGCGACCACCUGGACUGAUACUGACACUGAGGUGCGAAAGCGUGGGGAGCAAACAGGAUUAGAUACCCUGGUAGUCCACGCCGUAAACGAUGUCAACUAGCCGUUGGAAUCCUUGAGAUUUUAGUGGCGCAGCUAACGCAUUAAGUUGACCGCCUGGGGAGUACGGCCGCAAGGUUAAACUCAAA
rnacentral:rRNA from 1 species